rnacentral:tRNA from 2 species
GCCCCGGUAGCUUAGCCUGGCCAAAGCGCUUGCUUGGUAAGCAAGAGAUCGCGGGUCCAAAUCCCGCCCGGGGCUCCA